ACCGCUGCGCCACCCAGGGAUCCCCGAUUCUGGAUUUUUUAUAUCAUGCUCCGUUCAGUUGUUGAUUACACAUAACUUUUUCAGUCAUUCCCGUUGUGGGUUUUUUUGUUUUUUCGUGAUAUUUUUUGCCACAGAUUUAUCAUGUGUUUAUAUACUUUUUUAUAUAUAUAUUUUUUAUCAUUUGUUUAUGAUCAAAUACUGAAUACUUUUAUUCAUUCAUGGCUUCUGGCUUUGGUAUUAUACCUAAAAGUUCUCCAUCAGUGUGUUCAUAUUCAUGGUUUCAUAUUAUCUACUUAAUUGUAUGCUUUUAAUCCUCCCCCCCGAUUGAAACACCUCUGAUUCUCUUGGGAAUUUAGUAUUCGAUAAUAAGCAAGGUCAAGACCAGCUUUCUGUUUCUUCUCAGUUGAGUGACCCAAAUAAUUUCACUACUGUUCUUUACGUACUCUUUCCAGAUUGGUUCCACUCUGGCUUCUGACUCUUAAUUUUAACCUUUUUCUCCAGUCACGUCUCUGGGUCGGGGUGGACCCUUAUGACACAACUGCUGAUGUCCUGGCUAACGAACCCUACCUUCCCACGAGGACUCGGGACUUGUGUUGGAUUCUGGGCAUGAACUCUGCAGCCACCUAUCUUCACAUUUUUGGCCGUAUCCUCUGCUACCUGUUCAGAAUCCAAAGAGCAGGAGGAGCAUCUCCAUUGAAGUCUGGAGCAAAACACACAUACUGCGUAUGACCACUAUGAUUCCACGCGAUUAUCGUGUCAAGUAGAAAAUUAAACCAGGCACGGAAAAAAGACGUCGGUACGCACCAGGUUUGACGUGUGAUCCCUUCCGUUGCCUGUUUGAUGCAGAGGUUUCCCUUCGUCUUGACAUCACGUGUUAGAUGACACCUGCCUGCUGAUUUGGUCUUCUGGACGAGGUAUGUUUGUGAACCUUCUAUUGUUUCCUGAAUUGUAAUCUGUAUGUCGAUUUGUCCCUCAAAGCCUCUCUGUUUAAAUCAUUUUACUUUUGUAAAAAAAGAUUUUAUGUAUUUACCUAUGAGAGACACAGAGAGAGGCAGAGACACAGGCAGAGGGAGAAGCAGGCUCCGUGUGGGGAGCCCGAUGUGGG